rnacentral:sRNA from 1 species
GGGAAAGAGGUGGCAUCGGCGGUUCAAGACUGAGUUUUCUAUCUCUUCAGUGCCUCUUUCAACAAUGAAGAUCAAACCAGGUUUUGUGCAAAUAUCUGCUGAGUGAACUACUUAUUUGAAAAUACAUCAUUGGUUAAUAUUCCCUUUUGCUCAUUGAAAUCUCAAAGACUACAGACCCCGCACAAGACAUUCUGACAUUCCCGUCUUUGAAAUGAAUGACAGCAAUGAUAAAUAUGGCUCACCUCCAGAGAUACAGAUCUCACAACUUCAUAUUUUUAAUAUAAAUUAUUAAUCUGAGGUGUGGUGCAAUUCCAUUAGAUGAAAGAGAUCUACACAUUCAGAAGCACAUGAUUCUUCCCCCUUCCAUGAUUCCAGUGGCCAAUAGACAAACUACAAUAAAGCCAUGCCCUGACUGGAUGUGCCUAACAUUUGUCUGGUGCUUAAAGGAGUUGGCUGCAUGCGUGGAAAUGUUGGAAAGUCACCAAAAAUAGUUCUCCAAGUCAGAAGCGGUGCAAAAGCUGCCUCAGCUCUUGGUGGAUUUUCAAUUUCUCCCAGCCAUCUCUGUUUUGCUAAAGGUUUCUGAAGACAGUGGAUAAUGAAGAUAUUAUACCAUUAUAUGCUCUUGAAUCUGUCUCAUUGUGACUUGGCGAAGAGGCAGUGAAUCUGCCAAAAAGAAGUAGAGCAGCUGUGAAGAUGCCAACACAAUUGAGUACUCUUUCUCUACAUAUUUCUAAAUAUGGCAAUUUAUUGGACACUUAUGAGCAUGGAAUGACAAUGGGGUCAAUUUAACCAUACGGCAAUGCUGAGACACCUUCAUUAUGACCUUUCCCUGGUAUAAGUUAUGUGAUAAUGAAUGCAUGUUUAGUCACACACUGUAGGUACAGAUGGGAAAAAAGAAAGCAUAAAAUAUAAAACAUGAUGUCCAGGUUUCAAAUAAGAAUUCUAAAAUGUUAUUUAAUUAAUGAAAUGAAAAUACUUUACUUUAGAAAAAGAAUAUUGAAUCUCUUUGAUGUAUAAAAUGUAUAUUUCAAAUUAAAAAUUCAAAAGAAACAAA